rnacentral:lncRNA from 1 species
AUUUUGUAACAUUUUCAUAACUAAUGUUGCAAACCAAAAAUCAGAAAUGGUAAGAAAAUAUAUUUUGCAACAUUUUUGUUAAAACAUUGCAAACCAAAAAAAACAGUUUGCGACUUAGUUAAGAUAGUAUUUCGGGGUUUCGGACUCGGUUGGAACGAAGGAACGAAAAAUAAAAAAAUAAAAGAAGAAAGGAAAAGAAAACAAGAAUUAAUCGCACAGAUCUCUUCUUCUUCGUCAAUCGCGCAGAUCUCUCUCUCUCAAUUACUUCGAUCUACUCUGAAAUCUCUUCAUCAAUCGCACAAAUCUCUUCGUCAACAACCUACCAAUUGAUCUUUUCAUCCAUCUUCUUCUCCGGCUAGAGAUUGUUCAUCAACAACCUACCAAAUUUUUUUUUUUUUUUUUUUUUUAAUUGGCAUUUUCAAACACGUAGAUUGCAUUAGCAUUUUUUAGCAUGAGAAAAAGAUCAACUUAUGAUUUCUUUUUAAAUUUUAUGGUUGAACAGGGUUAUGAACCAAUGUUUGGAACAUCUUCAAGUGCACAUCAGGUUAAGUAUCAAUAUAACAUGAUUGUUGUAAUCGAGUGUUAUCUGAUUUUUAAAUAAUUUGAGUAAUUGUUAUUUUGUUUUCAAUUAGGUGCAUUCCACAAAUAAAAAUCCCUUAGUUGUGAAGUGCAAACUGUUUCGAAUGGACGAAGAAGACAUUGUAGCUGAAGGUGUUUAGCUGUCAGAUAAUCCAGAUAUGGAAGCGCAGGGGAUUAAACUUGGGCCAGGUGCAUCUAAGGUUGUGGUGGAACAUGUUAUCGAAUCUACAGCAAGAUUAUGGAAACCUUGCAAUGGUAUGAAAAUAUUGGAAGAAGGUUGUUCCAUUGCAUGGCCCACUGACCAUAUCAUAAAAGAGGUAAGUUGUAUGUUAAGUUGGAUUAUGGAAAAAUACUGCUUAAGUUACAUUUUUGGCAUUGAAAUGCUUGGAUACUGACCACCAUGUUCAAGUUGAGAUUCAAAUCCAAUACCACUCCCUCCAUGAUAAUGGUAGAAUGUCUGCACAUUUGUCUUGCAAAAUUUUCUUAGCUCCUCUUCACAGUUUUGCAUUCUCAUUUUGUUUGGUUGCCCACGUACAAUUUGAUUAAAUUGGAUUGUGAUAUUUUUUCAAGCAAGUGACCCAUCCUCACACAUUGAUCCAAGUCUUAUUUUAUCCAAUAAAUAGUUGAAUCUUACUGAAGGGUUUUUUCUGGGAUCUGUAUUCUUUAGUUAGAUUUCAAUUUAUUUUUCAUUAUAUUGUAAUAGGAUUGAGAAGGGGAUCGGUGUUGUGCUUUCUACUUUACAUUUCACAACGCGACUACUUCCAUUUGAAGGUAAUUUCAUUCAUCAUUCAUUUGCAUAUUGUGAUUAUAACUGGCAUUAAUCUAUUGUAUGUUGUGAAAGUGGUGCUUAAUGAACUUCUUUUAAAAAACUCAUUUUAUUGUAUUAAACCAGCUAAACAACCAAAGUUUUCUAGCAAUUGUAAGAACAUGUAGCUUUAUUCAGACCCACCAAACUUAUAAAUUGUGUCUGAUAUUAAAUCUUUUUUUUUUUUUGGAGUUGGAUAUUUGUUUUGGCCAACUGUGAGCUUUGACGACUUCAUGUGAUAGGAGAACUUAAUCUUUUUAUGUAAAUUGAUAUGAAUGCAGUUUGUGAGUGGCUCGUAUGACCAUCUUUCAAACUCUUUGAUGGGUGAUUUCAAUUUGAUUGUGCAGGUUACCUUGUGUGAAUGAUGAUCUUCUAGGUGAUGAUGAUGUUAGCUUGGGAUUAGAUGUUUGUUGUCAUCAUUCUAGGGUUGUUGAAAAUUUUAAUUUUUAGAAUAGUGAAGCAUUUGAAUGAUGUAAAACUUUAUAAUAAAUAUUUUUAUUUUUGAAAGUGAUGUAAUUUGUACGUGAAUUUGGAUGUUAAUAAAAUUUCAAUUUUCUAUGUUCUUCAAAUUUUUCUGCAAC